UUCCGGUUGAUCCCGCCGGAGGCUACUGCUAUUGGAAUUCGACUAAGCCAUGCGAGUCAAGGUGUCUUCGGACGCCGGCAAACGGCUCAGUAACACGUAGGUAAUCUACCCUCAGGACUGAGAUAACCCCGGGAAACUGGGGCUAAUACCAGAUAGAUAAAAGAUACUGGAAUGUUCUUUUAUCCAAAGCUUUUGUGCCUGAGGAUGAGCCUGCGCCCGAUUAGGUAGUUGGUGGGGUAAUGGCCCACCAAGCCUGCGAUCGGUACGGGCAGUGGGAGCUGUAGCCCGGAGUUGGGGACUGAGACAAGGCCCCAGGCCCUACGGGGCGCAGCAGGCGCGAAACCUCUGCAAUGCGGGAAACCGUGACAGGGGGAUUCCAAGUGCUCAUGCAUUGCAUGGGCUGUUCUUUGGUCUAAGUAACCAGAGGAGUAAGGGCUGGGCAAGACCGGUGCCAGCCGCCGCGGUAAUACCGGCAGCUCGAGUGGUAGCCGCGAUUAUUGGGCCUAAAACGUUCGUAGCCGGAUAAGUAAGUCUUUGGUUAAAUCCUACGACUUAACCGUGGGAAAUCUAGAGAUACUGCUUGUCUUGAGACCGGGAGAGGUUGGAGGUACUCCUAGGGUAGGGGUGAAAUCCUGUAAUCCUAGGGGGACCACCUGUGGCGAAGGCGUCUAACUGGAACGGGUCUGACGGUGAGGGACGAAACCUAGGGGAGCGAGCCGGAUUAGAUACCCGGGUAGUCCUAGGCGUAAAUGAUGCGAGUUAAGUGUGGGGGCAUCUACGAGAUGGCCCUGUGCUGUAGGGUAGCCGUUAAACUCGCCGCCUGGGGAGUACGGUCGCAAGGCUGAAACUUAAAGGAAUUGGCGGGGGAGCACCACAAGAGGUGGAGGCUGCGGUUCAAUUGGAUUCAACGCCGGG
rnacentral:rRNA from 1 species